rnacentral:rRNA from 1 species
AGCUCCAAUAGCGUAUAUUAAAGUUGUUGCAGUUAAAAAGCUCGUAGUUGAAUUUCUGUCGUGAACGACCAGUGCAGCUUCGGUUGCGACGUGGUUUGUUCGUGACAUCUUGCCAUUGCCUGUUCUGCACUUCACUGUGUGGUUCAGAAAGUGGCGCUUUUACUUUGAGAAAAUUAGAGUGUUUCAAGCAAGCCAUUGCUUUGAAUACUGCAGCAUGGAAUAAUAUGAUAAGACUUCGGUCUUGUUUUGUUGGUUUCUGAGGCUGAAGUAAUGAUUGAUAGGGACAGUUUGGGGCAUUCGUAUUUAACUGUCAGAGGUGAAAUUCUUGGAUUUGUUAAAGACGAACUACUGCGAAAGCAUUUGCCAGGGAUGUUUUCA